CGGUGGUAAUAGCAACAAUAAUCGACCGACCCUUCGUGCGUCACGUUCGCACAAAACUGCUACGGUUUGUUCUUGUAACGCGGUAACUCUGCCAGAUAAAUCACCAGGAACCAAAGUACUUUCUUCAACGGGAAAAUUCCAUUGGGCCGCCGUAAGUACGAACAAUUCACUCCAUGAUUCUUCUAGCAAUAUAGUUUGAUCUCGGUAUGGUAACUAAUUGAGAUAAAGAAAGAAAGAAAGAAAGAAAGAAAGAAAGAAAAGAAAAAAAAAAAAGAAGAAGAUAUUAAUGAAUUUCAUUAAUUUCGUAAUAAGAAUGAAUUUUAUUCUUACUUGUAAAAAUGAAUGUAUACUUCUGGCCCAUCUUACAGCAAAGAAUAAUAAUUUAGCUGCAAACUCGUAAACAUUUUCCGUCGGCAACAAUGAAAAACUUGACAUCGUAUAUUCCGCAGUGACAGGACUGAUGAUUUGUGGAACAAGACGAGUACCACCGACUAGUUCUUCUAAAAAUCAAAAGAAAAAAAAUUCAAUUUGAAAUGUUAAGGCUUCUUCGGAACUCGUUACCUCGUCUUCCUUCGCUGUGCUCACCGAUAAUGAUUCUGUCGAGGUUCUUGGUAAAAAAUGUGCUAAUCACAAUAAUCAAAAGUAUAAUUUUUAAUGAUGUCUCUCAUUAUCAAUACUAUUUAUCUUAUCCUAUGAUAAUAAAUAGAUAUCUAUUAUAGUUCUUACCAACGGCCGGUGCAAAUGGGGGCAUUGUCGGCUUGAAAGGAAAUAAUGCCGGAUAAAGAAGUGGAUGAUAAGGAUUGUUUGUCGUGUGAUAAACGUGAGGUAGUCCUGGAUAAAGACCAGCUGGAGCUCUUCUUGCAGCAGCCACAAGGUUCGAAGUACUUCUCGGUGCUCUUUCAUGUUGUACCGCUGAAAUCGAUAGGACAAUUUCGAUAGGACACACACA